UGGGGAAUAUUGCACAAUGGGCGCAAGCCUGAUGCAGCCAUGCCGCGUGUGUGAAGAAGGCCUUCGGGUUGUAAAGCACUUUCAGCGAGGAGGAAGGCGUUAAGGUUAAUAACCUUAGCGAUUGACGUUACUCGCAGAAGAAGCACCGGCUAACUCCGUGCCAGCAGCCGCGGUAAUACGGAGGGUGCAAGCGUUAAUCGGAAUUACUGGGCGUAAAGCGCACGCAGGCGGUUUGUUAAGUCAGAUGUGAAAUCCCCGAGCUUAACUUGGGAACUGCAUUUGAAACUGGCAAGCUAGAGUCUUGUAGAG
rnacentral:rRNA from 1 species